GUGCCUCAGACCAUAGUGCUGGUGGUGUUUUCUCUUGCUGCAAUUUCUUCCUUUUACAUUGUUGCCUUGGAUAUUAUUUGUCCUGUUUGGGUGAGAUCUAGACCGAGGACUAAGGCGUAUACUAGGACAGAACUAAGUGUUGUGGCCCACAGGUGAUCCUAAAGCAACAAAGAGGAACCAUGGAGAGGAAGAAGUGGUGUCCAGAUGUUUAAAAGGCGGUGUUGGGGACAGGAAACAAAGGCAACAAAGAGGAUCCUCUAAGGUUUAAAGGCACUGCUUGCAGAGACAAGUGCAGAAAACAAAGACAGAAGACCUGUCGAGAAUGUUUUAUGAUUAAAUGUUUUUGUUAUGUACAUGCACAUUAUUAUUUACAAUAUAUUUCUAAGAUACAUAAAUAUGUGACCUUGUAUAUGAAAUCCAGGCUACUGUCUUAAAAUCUAAUGACAUCUAAAGUUUGAAUUUACUGAUUUAACAUUGAGUUCAGUCUUUGGCAUGACCUUACUCAGUCAGUAUUGAAUACCGUAAAACUUCAAAUAAUAGCCGA